UUGAACGCUGGCGGCAUGCUUUACACAUGCAAGUCGAACGGUAACAGGCCGCAAGGUGCUGACGAGUGGCGAACGGGUGAGUAAUGCAUCGGAACGUGCCCAGUCGUGGGGGAUAACGCAGCGAAAGCUGUGCUAAUACCGCAUACGAUCUAAGGAUGAAAGCGGGGGAUCGCAAGACCUCGCGCGGACGGAGCGGCCGAUGGCAGAUUAGGUAGUUGGUGGGAUAAAAGCUUACCAAGCCGACGAUCUGUAGCUGGUCUGAGAGGACGACCAGCCACACUGGGACUGAGACACGGCCCAGACUCCUACGGGAGGCAGCAGUGGGGAAUUUUGGACAAUGGGCGAAAGCCUGAUCCAGCCAUGCCGCGUGCAGGAUGAAGGCCUUCGGGUUGUAAACUGCUUUUGUACGGAACGAAAAAGUCUUCUCUAAUACAGGGGGCGAAUGACGGUACCGUAAGAAUAAGCACCGGCUAACUACGU
rnacentral:rRNA from 1 species